UCUACGGGUGGCAGCAGUCGAGAAUCAUUCACAAUGGGGGAAACCCUGAUGGUGCGACGCCGCGUGGGGGAAUGAAGGUCUUCGGAUUGUAAACCCCUGUCAUGUGGGAGCAAAUUAAAAAGAUAGUACCACAAGAGUAAGAGACGGCUAACUCUGUGCCAGCAGACGCGGUAAUACAGAGGUCUGAAGCGUGUGUCGGAAUCACUGGGAGUAAAGCGUGCGUAGGCUGUUUCGUAAGUCGUGAGUGAAAGGGGCGGGCUCAACCCGCGGACGGCACAUGAUAAUGCGAGACUAGAGUAAUGGAGGGGGAACCGGAAUUCUCGGUGUAGCAGUGAAAUGCGUAGAUAUCGAGCGGAACACUCGUGGCGAAGGCGGGUUCCUGGACAUUAACUGACGCUGAGGCACGAAGGCCAGGGGAGCGAAAGGGAUUAGAUACCCGGGUAGUC
rnacentral:rRNA from 1 species